UACGGAGGGGGCUAGCGUUGUUCGGAAUUACUGGGCGUAAAGCGCGCGUAGGCGGCCAUUUAAGUCAGAGGUGAAAGCCCGGUGCUCGACAUCGGAAUAGCCUUUGAGACUGGGUGGCUAGAAUCCAGGAGAGGUGAGUGGAAUUCCGAGUGUAGAGGUGAAAUUCGUAGAUAUUCGGAAGAACACCAGUGGCGAAGGCGGCUCACUGGACUGGUAUUGACGCUGAGGUGCGAAAGCGUGGGGAGCAAACAGG
rnacentral:rRNA from 1 species